rnacentral:piRNA from 1 species
UACUAGAACCUAGAAGAGGUUAAUGGUA